CCGCCUGCCCUGUGACUAUAUGUUUAACGGCCGCGGUAUCUUAACCGUGCGAAGGUAGCGUAAUCACUUGUCUUUUAAAUGAAGACCUGUAUGAAUGGCAUCACGAGGGCUUAACUGUCUCCCCUCUCCAGUCAAUGAAAUUGACCUCCCCGUGCAGAGGCGGGGAUAUUUUUAUAAGACGAGAAGACCCUGUGGAGCUUUAGACCUAAGAUAAACCACGUUAAAUAUACUAAAAUUAAUAGCAAAAACUUAGUGGCCCUUUAUUUAAGUGUCUUUGGUUGGGGCGACCGCGGAGUAAAACAUAACCUCCAUGUGGACGGGGAUACUAUCCCUAAAACUCAGAGCCUCCACUCUAAGCAACAGAAAUUCUGACCUUACUGAUCCGGUACAACCGAUUAACGAACCCAGUUACCCCAGGGAUAACAGCGCAAUCCCCUCUCAGAGCCCAUAUCGACGAGGGGGUUUACGACCUCGAUGUUGGAUCAGGACAUCCUAGUGGUGCAGCCGCUAUUG
rnacentral:rRNA from 1 species